AGUCGAGCGGACAGAUGGGAGCUUGCUCCCUGAUGUUAGCGGCGGACGGGUGAGUAACACGUGGGUAACCUGCCUGUAAGACUGGGAUAACUCCGGGAAACCGGGGCUAAUACCGGAUGGUUGUUUGAACCGCAUGGUUCAGACAUAAAAGGUGGCUUCGGCUACCACUUACAGAUGGACCCGCGGCGCAUUAGCUAGUUGGUGAGGUAACGGCUCACCAAGGCGACGAUGCGUAGCCGACCUGAGAGGGUGAUCGGCCACACUGGGACUGAGACACGGCCCAGACUCCUACGGGAGGCAGCAGUAGGGAAUCUUCCGCAAUGGACGAAAGUCUGACGGAGCAACGCCGCGUGAGUGAUGAAGGUUUUCGGAUCGUAAAGCUCUGUUGUUAGGGAAGAACAAGUGCCGUUCAAAUAGGGCGGCACCUUGACGGUACCUAACCAGAAAGCCACGGCUAACUACGUGCCAGCAGCCGCGGUAAUACGUAGGUGGCAAGCGUUGUCCGGAAUUAUUGGGCGUAAAGGGCUCGCAGGCGGUUUCUUAAGUCUGAUGUGAAAGCCCCCGGCUCAACCGGGGAGGGUCAUUGGAAACUGGGGAACUUGAGUGCAGAAGAGGAGAGUGGAAUUCCACGUGUAGCGGUGAAAUGCGUAGAGAUGUGGAGGAACACCAGUGGCGAAGGCGACUCUCUGGUCUGUAACUGACGCUGAGGAGCGAAAGCGUGGGGAGCGAACAGGAUUAGAUACCCUGGUAGUCCACGCCGUAAACGAUGAGUGCUAAGUGUUAGGGGGUUUCCGCCCCUUAGUGCUGCAGCUAACGCAUUAAGCACUCCGCCUGGGGGAGUACGGUCGCAAGACUG
rnacentral:rRNA from 1 species